UUCAAAUUCAUAAUUGUACAUUGCCAAAAAUGGCAGCAAGUGUUUGGUAACUGGGUCAGAGACUUAUGUAUGUUGAAUUGAACAAGGACCUAUAAAUCGAGAAGUCAUUUCUUCCAUUCAGUGUUGCCUCCAGACAAUAAGUGGGUGAAGUAUCAAACUCAAAUUCUGUACCAAUGAAUGUUUCACCUUGUAAGUGGGCUUCACUGGGAGCAGUACCAACCAGGGUUAUGGCUUCCCAGAGAGUUCCCUAUGACUGGUUAACAAAGAAAAAGUACUGGCCUGGUUUAUGCACAGUUUGUUGUGGAUGGCAGCUGCAUUCUAGCUCCUGAAAGCCGAUGGCAAAAGUCCACUGGCAGAGGUAUUGCUGCACAUCUGUUGGAAAAAGCAGAAGUUUUAAAGACUUCAUGAAACUAUUUGACAAAGUUUCAUAGCAAACAGUACUAAGGACUAGAGGUGAAUGGAUUGCCAAUAAAAUAAAUCAGAAAUUCAAAUAUUCAUUGUAAGUUUUUCCUAUUCACACUGUAGAUGGACAACAUUUCAUGCUCAUAUUCCAGUUUAUAAUUCUAUUUUGCCCCUUUCCUUUCCAUAGUAAGUUUUAAUCUUAGACCAGUCUUCAUCUCUUUUAGUUCUCAGUAAUGGAAUUUGAGCAUUUGGUCUGGAAAACCACAGACCCUCCUUACUGCUGGUAUAAGAAAUUCCAGCAACAGAAUAAGAUGAUUUUCUGUUUUCUUAAAAUGCCCUUGAAAAUGUUAUUUCUAACAAAGGGGUCUUGUAAGACACCUGGAACUCAGAACUUAGAGCAUGUUUUGUGUAUAUAAGCUUGGCCUUAAAAAGCCUGUAAAUUCUUUUUGUUUGUAUUGCUUAAUAAUGUGUUUCCCUGGUAGUAUUUAAAUUGACAUCUCCAUGUCCUUUAAGCUGUGAAUACCCAAGAGUUUUCUUUAAUAGCCAAGUAAAUCGAAAAUUUGUGUGCACACAAUAAUUUGUCAGGCAAAUGUGAUAACCCUAAAUUACUGAAACUGCAUACAAUAACUUGCAUGCAAAUGUUUAUAGCAGCUUUAUUCAUCAAAAACUGGAAACAACCAGAUGUCCUUCAACAGGUGGGUGGAUAAACUGGUAUAUUCAUACAAUGAAAUAGUAAUCAGUGAUAAGAAGAAAAGAUCUGUUGAUUCACUGAACAACGUAAAUGAAUUGGGUUUUUUAGUGGUAAAAUAUACAAAACAUAAACAUAGAUGAAUCUUGAAUGCAUUUUGCCAAGUAAAAGGAGCCAGACUCCAAAGACCUCAAAGUCUUGUAUGAUUCUAUUCAUGUGACAUUCUGAAAAAGACAAAACUCAGGGGCAAAACUUAGUUUCCUAUAGCUGCUAUAAAAAAUUACCACAACUUGGUGGCUUACAACACAAAUUUAUUGUCUUACAGUUCUGGAAGCCAGAAGUCCGAAAUCAGUUUCACUAGGCCAAAGUCAAGAUGUUGUAGGGCUGGUUCCUUCUGGAGACUCUAGACAAAGUUCAUUUCCAUGACUUUUCUAGCUUCUGGAGGCUGCUUGUAUUCCUUAGCCUGUGACUCCAUCCUCACAUCAUUCCAACUCUUGCUUCUAUCCUCAUGUCUCCUACUACCUCCUCUGACUUUCUUGCUGCUGUCUUGUAAGGACCCUUGUGAUCACACUUAGAACUCAACCAAAUAACCCAGGAUUAUCUCCCCACCACAAAAUUUUUAACCUUUAUCACAUCUACAAAGUCCUUUUUGCCAUAUGAUGUAACAUUCAAUUGUUGGGGGGAUUAGGACAUGGGUAUCUUUCAGGUCAUUAUUUGGUCUAUCACAGGACAGAAAGUAGAUCAGUGGUUACCAGGGGUUGAGGGAGAGGGAAGGGUUGAGUACUUAAUGGGCUACACAAGAGUGCUUGUGGAUAUAUGACGCUACAAUUGUCAAAACCCACAGAAUGGUACACCACCAAGAAAGAACUUUACUGUACACAAAAUUUAAAAAAUCAACCUGGUUGUCAAUGAUCCCAGGAUGGAAUGCAGAAUGUGAUAAAAAGAUCUAAUUGUAUUAAAAAUGUAUGACAUAACUUCACUGAAGAGAGUCAGGGAAAAAGUUGCUAAACUUUGAAAAACAGUGUUUUUAAGCUCAUAGAUAACAGAACAGAUUGAUGGUUGCCAGAGGUAAGGGGCUGGGGGUGGGUGAAAUGGGUGAAGGGAGUCAAAAGGUACAAAAAGUAGGAGACAUGAGGAUAGAAGCAAGAGUUGGAAUGAUGUGAGGAUGGAGUCACAGUUGUAAAUAAGUCAUGGGGAUGUAAUGUACAGCAUGGUGAUCUAGUUAGUAAUACUGUAUUGUGUAUUUGAAAGUUGCUAACAGAGUAGAUCUUAAAAGUACUCAUCACAAGGAAAAAAAUUCUGUAACUGUGUAUAGUGAUGGAUGUUAACUAGACAUUGUGGUGAUCACGUUGCAAUAUAUACUAAUAUCGAAUCAUUAUGUUGUACACCUGAAACUAAUAUAAUGUCAUAUGUCAAUUAUACCCCCAUAAAAAAAGAAAAAUGGUGUUUUGACUAGCUAAUGUAAGGCUAACAACAAAAAGAAUUGUACAUAAAUACUGUACUCUAGUUGGCAGAUAUAGAAAUAUAGAUAUGUAUGUGUAAAUAGGGUGGUAUAUUUAGAUACAUUUCCUGGCUCUGACUGCUGAGAUGGCCUUGAAGCAGUGACACCCCAGCAGCAAUAAGCACACUUAUCACUCAGAUCUUUGUUUCUAGAUACCAUUUUCCAAUAAACAGGAUCAGGGCUCCUUGAAGAAGUGACUGAUUUUAGGGCUGGCACAUGCAAGAUGUAAGGCAAGUGCAGAAGAUCUGGCAGGACCAGAAGAAGACAGCCCAGAAUAUGAGCCUGCACCUGACCACUUCAGACUCUUGCUGUGAUGUAUGUUCUGACUUUCACACUUUUGCUAUACUGUGUACUUUUCAUGAAAGAAACUGUACAUACUAUAAUGUCUUGUGAGUCCUCUUUAGCAGUUGAACCCUGUUUAAAUGCCACUUUAGUGCACCUAUAUAUUCAAUUUUUGUAAAUGAUACAUGAUUACUAGGGAAAAAAGGUGUAUUGUCUAGUAUACCUGUUACUUUUCAGGAAGCUAUUAAGGAAGACUUAUUAAUCAUAUUACUAAAUGAUUCUCUAUAUGUCUUCAUAUUUUGGCUUUA